AUGAUAGAGGCGCGGAAACAAUCAGUAGCUCCGUCAGGAACCGGGCAAGUUCCGGAAGCGAAAGGUGUUUCUGCCGAAGCUCAGUCACUUUUCCCGGAGUGAUUCUGCUGGGCUGUUGCAGAACAUGCAACAGACUGUCACGGUACGUGGAGGGCUAUCUG
rnacentral:ncRNA from 1 species